CUACGGGCCGCUGCAGCGGGGAAUAUUGCACAAUGGAGGAAACUCUGAUGCAGCAACGCCGCGUGGAGGAUGACACUUUUCGGAGCGUAAACUCCUUUUAUAUAGGAUGAAGAUGACGGUACUAUAUGAAUAAGCGCCGGCUAACUCCGUGCCAGCAGCCGCGGUAAUACGGAGGGCGCAAGCGUUACUCGGAAUCACUGGGCGUAAAGAGCGCGUAGGCGGAUUAAAAAGUCAGAAGUGAAAUCCUAUAGCUUAACUAUAGAACUGCUUCUGAAACUCUUAAUCUAGAAUAUGGGAGAGGUAGAUGGAAUUUCUGGUGUAGGGGUAAAAUCCGUAGAGAUCAGAAGGAAUACCGAUUGCGAAGGCGAUCUACUAGAACAUUAUUGACGCUGAGACGCGAAAGCGUGGGGAGCAAACAGGAUUAGAUACCCCAGUAGUC
rnacentral:rRNA from 1 species